GUUUCAAUUCUUUAUAGGUAAGAUACAAAC
rnacentral:other from 1 species